GUGUCAGCAGCCGCGGUAAUACGUAGGGUGCGAGCGUUAAUCGGAAUUACUGGGCGUAAAGCGUGCGCAGGCGGUCUCGUAAGACAGGUGUGAAAUCCCCGGGCUUAACCUGGGAACUGCGCUUGUGACUGCGAGGCUGGAGUGCGGAAGAGGGAGGUGGAAUUCCACGUGUAGCAGUGAAAUGCGUAGAGAUGUGGAGGAACACCGAUGGCGAAGGCAGCCUCCUGGUCCAGCACUGACGCUCAUGCACGAAAGCGUGGGGAGCAAACAGGAUUAGAUACCCUGGUAGUCCACGCCCUAAACGAUGACGACUAGUUGUUGGGGUAGAAGUACCUUAGUAACGCAGCUAACGCGUGAAGUCGUCCGCCUGGGGAGUACGGUCGCAAGAUUAAA
rnacentral:rRNA from 1 species